CUCAGACCUCUUUUGUAGUCCUCUGAAGGUUGCCAGCAAUUAUGAUCCAUCUGUUAAAGUCACACUGCUUUUGGUCUUCCCAAAUGUCUUCCAGAAGCUGACAGUAGCAGUAGUGCCUGUAGGAGAGCAGAUUUACAAGGCUGACAGCAGUACUGGCUUUACAGCACCUUGUGGAAUAUGAAAUAAACUCUGUUAAAAGCCACGUAAACCCACAGAGAGCGCUGUAAAUAAUUUCAGGAUUUUUUGUUUUACCUAACUACAAAAAUAAAUGUAAAUAAGCUGUACAUCUAUUAUUAUUAGUCACUUAUUAUUAGCCAAUUACUUAUUGAGAUGCUGACGAUAUAAAAAAUCAUUAUAAUCAUAUUGUUGAGGUUUCACUCCAGCCUUGUUAUUUCAAACAGACUUUACAAAGACAAUGGUUACCGAAAUACAACUGAGUCCAGAUGAAUUUGACUACUUUCAAGUUGGAGUCGAUUCUGAAGUGACAUUUUGCCUUAGAGAACUGAGGGGACUGCUGGCAUUUUCAGAAGCUACCAGUGUUCCUGUCUCAAUCCAUUUUGACAUGCCUGGGAACUCAAAGACACGUGUGGACAAAUGCAUUGAUAAGGAUAGCAGUGCUGGAACAGUUGCUUCCAAAAAGCCACGAUGGAAUGGACAGGCACAGAACACGGCGUCAGGGGCACCUGCAAGUCCCUUGCCAAAACAGGUUAAAAGUGUUCCCCCAGUCUCACACAGAGAUACUGCAGGCACAGGAGGAACAGCUGUAACGAAGGCAGAUGACCAAGCAGUGCUGGAAGCAGAGUCUCCUUAUCACAAGGUAAGGACCCUCCCAAUCACAUUCACAUUCUAUGAUAAAACAGUGUUAUACCUUAGAUGGCAUUUAGAAGCUGAGUACUACACACAGUCCCAAUCUUCCGAAAUAAUUAGCCCUCAAAUUCUGUUUCACAUGCAGUGUCUUAUUCCUGAUUGUUGCAUUUUCCAGUUUCAUUCGUUG
rnacentral:lncRNA from 1 species